GUAGGGAAUAUUGGGCAAUGGAUGAAAGUCUGACCCAGCCAUGCCGCGUGCCGGAUGAAGGCGCUCAGCGUUGUAAACGGCUUUUAUUCGGGAAGAAGAGCAGGGAUGCGUCCCUGUGUGACGGUACCGAAUGAAUAAGCACCGGCUAACUCCGUGCCAGCAGCCGCGGUAAUACGGAGGGUGCGAGCGUUGUCCGGAUUUAUUGGGUUUAAAGGGUGCGUAGGUGGCCAAAUAAGUCAGUGGUGAAAUACGGUUGCUCAACAAUCGAGGUGCCAUUGAUACUGCUUGGCUUGAAAUAAUUGGAGGCUGCCGGAAUGGAUGGUGUAGCGGUGAAAUGCAUAGAUAUCAUCCAGAACACCGAUUGCGAAGGCAGGUGGCUACGAUUUAUUUGACACUGAGGCACGAAAGCAUGGGGAGCAAACAGGAUUAGAUACCCGGGUAUCC
rnacentral:rRNA from 1 species